UCCCGUAUAGUCUAGUGGUUAGGAUAUCAGGUUUUCAAGUGUUUUCUCUUGAAAUUCCCUGACGGCCCGGGUUCGAACCCCGGUACGGGAA